UACGGAGGAUGCGAGCGUUAUCCGGAUUUAUUGGGUUUAAAGGGUGCGUAGGCGGCUUUUUAAGUCAGCGGUGAAAUUUUGCAGCUUAACUGUAACAGUGCCGUUGAUACUGGGGAGCUAGGAUUUGGUUGCUGUGGGUGGAAUGUGUGGUGUAACGGUGAAAUGCUUAGAGAUCACACAGAAUAUCGAUUGCGAAGGCAGCUCACAAAGCCAAGAUUGACGCUGAGGCACGAAAGUGUGGGGAUCAAACAGGAUUAGA
rnacentral:rRNA from 1 species